rnacentral:rRNA from 1 species
GACGUAGGGCGCGAGCGUUGUCCGGAUUUAUUGGGCGUAAAGAGCUCGUAGGCGGCUCGUUGCGUCAACCGUGAAAACCCGGGGCUCAACCUCGGGCCUGCAGUGGGUACGGGCAGACUGGAGUGCGGUAGGGGAGAAUGGAAUUCCUGGUGUAGCGGUGGAAUGCGCAGAUAUCAGGAGGAACACCGAUGGCGAAGGCAGUUCUCUGGGCCGUAACUGACGCUGAGGAGCGAAAGCAUGGGGAGCGAACAGG